AAGUCGUAACAAGGUAUCCGUAGGUGAACCUGCGGAUGGAUCAUUAGCAAAGCAAAUAUAGUUUUGUAAGUAUUGUGAACAGUUUUGAAUGUGGGCAGCAGUUGGGUGUUUUAUCGGUGUAUGUUGAUGUAUGUUGAUGUAUGUUGAUGUAUGUUGAUGUAUGUUGAUGUAUGUUGAUGUAUGUUGAUGUAUAUUGAUGUAUGUUGAUGUAUAUUGAUGUAUGUUGAUGUAUAUGUCGAUGAAGGGCUGGCUGCGCCGGGUUUGUACACGUAUUGUGCGCGGCGACUGACGUCUACUUUUGUAGUGUAAAGUACAGACAACUUUUAGCAACGGAUCUCUUGGCUCUC
rnacentral:misc_RNA from 1 species